GCUUGGAAUUAGAGCCAGCCAGGAGGGGCGCGCUGGGGAGGCUCUUUCCGAGGCCUCAUCCAGCAGAUACUCCCGCCAGCCACUCCGAAUGCACUCCCACUCCGCAGCCGCAGCCAGCCAUCAGCCGGUUGUGGCCACGCAAGGGCCAAGUUCUUUUGUUUGAGGUGUUCUCCCCUUUUCCCCUCAAAUCCUCUCCUUUCCAGGACCAUGAGCUUCCUGUUGCCAUUUUUCUAACCAACUGAAUUACAUGGGUAAUUGUGAACAAAGAUGGUUCCUGCUGGUCUCACCUUUGGAACAUACAAACUUAAGCUCCCCCAGGUUAUUCCGAAGUGCAUCCAGAGUUGAGGAGCCUGCCUCAGAGUUUUCAGAGCCGUCACGGCCUGCCUUGGCUCAAUCCUUGCCACAGCCUGGAUGGCAGGUAAGAUGUGUGACUAUGCAUCAUCAAUCCCAUUUUACUCGGAGUAACCGAGGUUCAGGGAAGUGAAGGGAUUUGCUCAAGGUUAUACAGCUAAUAGUUGACGAGCUAGGACCCACCCAGCCCUGUGCAUCCACACCCAUCCUCUGCCUCAAAUUCUUGGUGAAAAACAGGCAAACAUUUCUCCAUCAAUUACCUUUGUGAAAAGAGGCAAAUGUCUGUCCUUCAAUCAGACAGUCAGGCAAGCCCAUCCUCUCUCCACAGCUGCCACCAGCUUCCAUCUGCCUGUGAGGCCCCCUUUCUCAGGGCCUCACUAACUGCAACCUUCCCCAGGGAGGUGACCUGAUUAGACUCCUCAGCCUGCUUCAUCAUUGACCAAUAAAAGAAUGGGUCUCUCCCUACCAGACAGGAAGGAAAUCCAAGUUUGAGUGGAAGAGGGCACCUCGCCAUGGAACUCACCACUCCCAGGGUGGGGCCUCCCAAUGGACCGACCCGGUCUUUCCUGCGGCGCCUGCCCACAAGGGCACAGACUGAGGGGGUUGAGGGAGAGAAGUCAACAGUGACAAUAUGGGUGAUCCAGGAGGGUCUCCCAAAGAGUUUACAGCCUCUGCUGGGGGUCCUUGGGCAGGGUUGGGAUACCACUGGUGGGGCUCACAUGGGGAGGAUGGUUUUAGGUGAUUCAUGGGAAAACUUUUAAAAUGUUUAAUACCUAUGUAUUUAUUUUAAUGUACAUUAAGAAAAAUGUAGCUCGCUAAGCCUGUAAUUUCACAGGUAUUUCCAAUACAAAGUUCCUGGCAAAAUUAAUUUCAUUAAGCAGAAAAGGAGCACAUUUAAAGCAAAACGUUAAGGAGAUAAUAGUACCAGUGGGACUUGGAUAUAGCCAACAUAGUGAUGACAGCUGGGUGUCCCCCAAGGGUGCAGUGGGAGCGGGGGGACAGUGUCCUUUGUACGGAAGGUCAGAGGUGGAAGGGAAGGCUUUCAUGAAAACAUUUCAUGGAAAGACGUCAGCAGCACAUCUUUCAAUCAUAAAGAAUUACUGUUGCUGACAAGAAAUUCAUUGUCUUGGAAUAAUGGCCAGGAAUGAAAAUAGCACAGCCCCAGGCCCUCGUGGGCCUGCAGUGAGGUCCAGCUGAGGGAAGGGCCGAGCAGUUUCUCCAGCCCUUUCAAGCCCCAACAAGCCUGUGUGAGACCACACUCAGCCCAACACCUCAGUCCUGCUGAAGACACACCGAGACAACCGUAUUAGUGUAAGCCCAGUGUCUGAGGACGGGUCCUAAUGGAGUACAACCAGCUGGCCCAGCUGUCCAGGGACAGGAUUUCCUCAGUCUCACCAGCCCCUGCCUGGAGCCUGGGUGGAAUAAGCUCAGAGUGGUUACUGCCUAAAAGGACACACCCAGAUCUUUGGGGCCAACCCCACGUACACUCAUUCACAUCUGUACUUGUCAAUGGGACUCAGAGCUCCCUAGGGAACGGAUGAUUUGGGACCCUAGGAUGGGAAAGGAUGUGUGUUCAGUUUAAGGGGCUGACAGUCACACUCUGAGAAUGAAAAGGGAUUGGAUCUGGUUUUUAGGAAUGAAAGUCACCAUUUUUAAAAUAUGAUGGGGGGGAGGUAUGAAUAGGUGAGCACAGAGGUUUUCAGGGCAGUGAAAAUACUCUGUAUGAUACUGGAACAGUGGAUACAUGUCACUACUGGUUUGUCCAAGCCCAUAGAAUGCACAACACCAAGAGUGAAUCCAAGUGUGAACUAGGGACUCUGGGUGAUGAUGACGUGUCACUGUGGGUGCAUCAGUAGUAACAGAAGUGCCACUCUGGUGGGGGAUGUUGAUAGUGG
ensembl:lncRNA